rnacentral:rRNA from 1 species
AUUGAACGCUGGCGGCAUGCCUAACACAUGCAAGUCGAACGGCAGCACAGCCCGCAAGGGUGGGUGGCGAGUGGCGGACGGGUGAGGAAUACAUGGGAAUCUACCCUGUCGUGGGGGAUAACGUAGGGAAACUUACGCUAAUACCGCAUACGACCUCCGGGUGAAAGCGGCGGAGCGCAAGGCGUCGCGCGACUGGACGAGCCCAUGUCGGAUUAGCUAGUUGGCGGGGUAAAGGCCCACCAAGGCGACGAUCCGUAGCUGGUCUGAUAGGAUGAUCAGCCACACUGGAACUGAGACACGGUCCAGACUCCUACGGGAGGCAGCAGUGGGGAAUAUUGGACAAUGGGCGCAAGCCUGAUCCAGCAAUGCCGCGUGGGUGAAGAAGGCCUUCGGGUUGUAAAGCCCUUUUGUACGGGAAGAAAUCCUGUCGGUUAAUACCCGGCGGGGAUGACGGUACCGUAAGAAUAAGCACCGGCUAACUUCGUGCCAGCAGCCGCAGUAA